UGAAGAAACUUCUGCAGAGUCCUGGUUCCAGAACAUGAUGAUAAAAUUAUAGACAAACUUUAACAAAAGCUGCCUGAGAGUUUACAGGUUUUUAUGUCAGAUUUCUUCAGUAAUUUAAUGAUAGUUAUCAGCAAUAAUCAAGUGUUCAUUUGAUGAACUUCAUUUCCUAAAACAUCCAGAAUUGAAGCUCAUAUCUUUGGCAGCUGUAAAGUUUCUGCUCCUUCAAAGUUCACAACACAAUGAAUGAAUUCCUAAAACACUCUAAAUGCUGGAGAGCGUUUGUGAUGCUGAAGCAGUGACCAGUUUUUCUGUUUCUUCUCUGGAGAUGCACAAUGAGGGACGUCUGCAGAGACUGAGAAAGAGUCUCACCACAUCCUGACAUGAGGAAAAAGACUUUAUUGAAGACUACAAUGAGAAAAACUAUCAGACAGCAGACGGCUGCAUUCAAGGCUACAGGAGGAGUCCUACGAGGACGAGCCGGUCCACCUGAUGGUGGCCAGUCACUGUGGUUCAAAGCCAACACCGACUACGUGGACUUCUACUGGACCACACGGAGGCCUUCAAACCGGACCAACAAGUUCAGCGA
ensembl:lncRNA